rnacentral:rRNA from 1 species
GAGAGAGGAGCUUGCUCCUGGAUUCAGCGGCGGACGGGUGAGUAAUGCCUAGGAAUCUGCCUGGUAGUGGGGGACAACGUUUCGAAAGGAACGCUAAUACCGCAUACGUCCUACGGGAGAAAGCAGGGGACCUUCGGGCCUUGCGCUAUCAGAUGAGCCUAGGUCGGAUUAGCUAGUUGGUGAGGUAAUGGCUCACCAAGGCGACGAUCCGUAACUGGUCUGAGAGGAUGAUCAGUCACACUGGAACUGAGACACGGUCCAGACUCCUACGGGAGGCAGCAGUGGGGAAUAUUGGACAAUGGGCGAAAGCCUGAUCCAGCCAUGCCGCGUGUGUGAAGAAGGUCUUCGGAUUGUAAAGCACUUUAAGUUGGGAGGAAGGGCAGUAAAUUAAUACUUUGCUGUUUUGACGUUACCGACGGAAUAAGCACCGGCUAACUCUGUGCCAGCAGCCGCGGUAAUACAGAGGGUGCAAGCGUUAAUCGGAAUUACUGGGCGUAAAGCGCGCGUAGGUGGUUUGUUAAGUUGGAUGUGAAAUCCCCGGGCUCAACCUGGGAACCGCAUCCAAAACUGGCAAGCUAGAGUAUGGUAGA